UCACCGUCUGGAUGGCCUACGACACA
rnacentral:piRNA from 1 species